AAGUCGUAACAAGGUUUCCGUAGGUGAACCUGCGGAAGGAUCAUUAUCGAGUUCAGAAUGUGGGCUUGAGCUGGCGCUUCGGCGCAAGUGCUCGGCCCCGCUCAUCCACUCAACCCCUGUGCACUUUAGAGGUGUGGUUCCCCCGUCAAUGGGAGCCGCCGGCGCGAGCUGGCUGGGAUCGCGCCUCGACCCUUCACACAAACCCCUGAAAAGUCUAGUGAACGUGAAUCGCGUCAGCGAUGAAACUUAAUACAACUUUCAACAACGGAUCUCUUGGCUCUC
rnacentral:misc_RNA from 1 species